rnacentral:rRNA from 1 species
AUGAACGCUGGCGGCGUGCCUAACACAUGCAAGUCGAACGGAGUUUUAUGAAGCUUUCGGGCGGAUUAAAACUUAGUGGCGGACGGGUGAGUAACGCGUGGGUAACCUGCCUCAUACAGGGGGAUAACAGUUGGAAACGACUGCUAAAACCGCAUAAUAUUGCGACGUCGCAUGGCGAUGCAAUUAAAUAUUUAUAGGUAUGAGAUGGGCCCGCGUCUGAUUAGCUAGUUGGUGAGGUAAUGGCUCACCAAGGCGACGAUCAGUAGCCGGCUUGAGAGAGUGACCGGCCACAUUGGGACUGAGACACGGCCCAAACUCCUACGGGAGGCAGCAGUGGGGAAUAUUGCACAAUGGGGGAAACCCUGAUGCAGCGACGCCGCGUGAGUGAAGAAGUAUUUCGGUAUGUAAAGCUCUAUCAGCAGGGAAGAAAUUGACGGUACCUGACUAAGAAGCCCCGGCUAACUACGUGCCAGCCGCCGCAGUAACAC